rnacentral:rRNA from 1 species
AUUGAACGCUGGCGGCAUGCCUUACACAUGCAAGUCGAACGGCAGCGGGGACUUCGGUCCGCCGGCGAGUGGCGAACGGGUGAGUAAUAUAUCGGAACGUACCAUUGAGUGGGGGAUAACGUAGCGAAAGUUACGCUAAUACCGCAUAUUCUCUCCGGAGGAAAGCAGGGGACCGCAAGGCCGUGCGCUCUUUGAGCGGCCGAUAUCAGAUUAGCUAGUUGGUGAGGUAAAGGCUCACCAAGGCGACGAUCUGUAGCGGGUCUGAGAGGAUGAUCCGCCACACUGGAACUGAGACACGGUCCAGACUCCUACGGGAGGCAGCAGUGGGGAAUUUUGGACAAUGGGCGCAAGCCUGAUCCAGCAAUGCCGCGUGCAGGAAGAAGGCCUUCGGGUUGUAAACUGCUUUUGUACGGAGCGAAAAGGCUCCCUCUAAUACAGGGGGCUCAUGACGGUACCGUAAGAAUAAGCACCGGCUAACUACGUGCCAGCAGCCGCCGUAACAC